UUUCUUAGGGGAGUUGUGUUUCAGCAAAUGCCUCCACAUUUCUGAGCUUCCCCGGUUCUUUAUUCCUUUACUUGUUUAUCCUCUGGUAAUGCUUGCUAACAGCAAAAUGUGACCUUCACUCUUGUUCUGGAGCUAUCAGCAUGUGGCCUUCCUGCCCACAGCGCUGCUCACUUCGGUUUUGCAUAGUUCCGUGUCAGGGCGUCGGAUGCUAGAGGACUUACCUCACCUUUUAGAGAUUUACACAGAUGUCUUCUCACGGACCAUUACUUCUGCAAAUGCAUAUGCCCUGUUUUUGGCAACAAAAUUGGAAUCUUCUGCUCUGGAGAGACCACCAGUGCAUGGGUGAGGAUGUGGUGAGACUGCUGGAAGAUGCCUUCAGCAUUUGACUCAUA